rnacentral:rRNA from 1 species
CCUUUGUACACACCGCCCGUCGCUACUACCGAUUGAAUGGCUAAGUGAGGCUUUCGGACCGGCUUAGGCAGAUUGGCAACGAUCAGCUCGAGCUGGAAAGUUAUCCAAACUUGGUCAUUUAGAGG